CAAUAGCGUAUAUUAAUACUGUUGCAGUUAAAAAGCUCGUAGUUGGAUCUUGGGUCCAGGCAUGGGGUGAGCGACCUAAAAUUGCGCUCACUCUCUGUCUCCUGGUCUCCUGUAGCUACGUGUCCACUGAUGAUCUUUACCGAUUGUCUAUGGUGCGAAGCUCGUUUACUUUGAAAAAUUAGAGUGUUCAAAGCAGGCCUAAACAACGUAGCCUGAAUAAAUGUGCAUGGAAUAAUAGAAGAGGACCUCUGUUCUAUCUUUUGUUUGGUUUCCGGAAUGUGAGGUAAUGAUUAAAAGGAACAGCCGGGGGCGAUCUGUACUACUGCGUUAGAGGUGAAAUUCUUGGAUCGCAGUAUGACAAACUAACAGCGAAAGACAUUUGUCCAAGUAUGUUUUCUAUUAAUACAAGAACGAAAGUACAGAGGUUCGAAGACGA
rnacentral:rRNA from 1 species